AAGUCGUAACAAGGUUUCCGUAGGUGAACCUGCGGAAGGAUCAUUAACACUUUUUUGUUGAUUGUUUGGUUUUUUUUUUCAAAAAAAAACCGACAACCACAAUUAUCCUAUCCAAACUGAAGAGCUUGUGAGCAGUGUGCUUUUUUCUUCUGAAAUAAAGCUGGCUCCCAUUUUCUCAUUUUUUGCUUUUUCACUUUCAACAAAAACCCCAAUCACACAAAUCUAAAUCAUUUGUGAGAUUGCAAACAAUCAAUUUGCUAUCUUGACAAUCUAAAAACACACUAUUAAGAGAUUACAUCUCCAAUGUAACCAAACAACUCUUAACAACGGAUAUCUUGGCUCUC
rnacentral:misc_RNA from 1 species